AAAGAUUAAGCCAUGCAUGUCUAAGUAUAAGCAAUUAUACCGUGAAACUGCGAAUGGCUCAUUAAAUCAGUUAUCGUUUAUUUGAUAAUACCUUACUACUUGGAUAACCGUGGUAAUUCUAGAGCUAAUACAUGCUGAAAAUCCCGACUUCGGAAGGGAUGUGUUUAUUAGAUAAAAAACCAAUGCCUUUCGGGGCUUUUUGGUGAUUCAUGAUAACUUUACGGAUCGCAUAGCCUUGCGCUGGCGACGGUUCAUUCAAAUUUCUGCCCUAUCAACUUUCGAUGGUAAGGUAUUGGCUUACCAUGGUUUCAACGGGUAACGGGGAAUUAGGGUUCGAUUCCGGAGAGGGAGCCUGAGAAACGGCUACCACAUCCAAGGAAGGCAGCAGGCGCGCAAAUUACCCAAUCCCGACACGGGGAGGUAGUGACAAUAAAUACUGAUACAGGGCUCUUUUGGGUCUUGUAAUUGGAAUGAGUACAAUUUAAACCUCUUAACGAGGAACAAUUGGAGGGCAAGUCUGGUGCCAGCAGCCGCGGUAAUUCCAGCUCCAAUAGCGUAUAUUAAAGUUGUUGCAGUUAAAAAGCUCGUAGUUGAAACUUGGGCCUGGCUGGCGGGUCCGCCUCACCGCGUGCACUCGUCCGGCCGGGCCUUCCUUCUGAAGAACCUCAUGCCCUUCACUGGGCGUGUUGGGGAAUCAGGACUUUUACUUUGAAAAAAUUAGAGUGUUCAAAGCAGGCCUUUGCUCGAAUACGUUAGCAUGGAAUAAUAAAAUAGGGCGUGCGUUUCUAUUUUGUUGGUUUCUAGAGACGCCGCAAUGAUUAACAGGAACAGUCGGGGGCAUCAGUAUUCAGUUGUCAGAGGUGAAAUUCUUGGAUUUACUGAAGACUAACUACUGCGAAAGCAUUUGCCAAGGAUGUUUUCAUUAAUCAGUGAACGAAAGUUAGGGGAUCGAAGACGAUCAGAUACCGUCGUAGUCUUAACCGUAAACUAUGCCGACUAGGGAUCGGGCGAUGUUCUUUUUUUGACUCGCUCGGCACCUCACGACAAA
rnacentral:rRNA from 1 species